rnacentral:misc_RNA from 1 species
GAUGAAGAACGCAGCGAAAUGCGAUAAGUAAUGUGAAUUGCAGAAUUCAGUGAAUCAUCGAAUCUUUGAACGCACAUUGCGCCCGCCAGUAUUCUGGCGGGCAUGCCUGUUCGAGCGUCAUUUACACCCUCAAGCCUAGCUUGGUGUUGGGCGUCUGUCCCGCCGUUUUCGCGCGCGGACUCGCCUCAAAGUCAUUGGCGGCGGUCGUGCCGGCCCCCUCGCGCAGCACAUUUGCGCUUCUCGGAGGCCCGGCGGAUCCGCGCUCCAGCAAGACCUUUCACGACUUGACCUCGGAUCAGGUAGGGAUACCCGCUGAACUUAAGCAUAUCAAUAAGCGGAGGA